AGGAUGAACGCUGGCGGUCUGCUUAACACAUGCAAGUCGAACGGAGUAGCAAUACUUAGUGGCGGACGGGUGAGUAACGCGUGAGAAUCUACCUUCAGGACGGAGACAACAGUUGGAAACGACUGCUAACCCCCGAUGUACCGAAAGGGCAAAUAUUUAUAGCCUGAAGAAGAGCUCGCGUCCGAUUAGCUAGUUGGAGAGGUAAAAGCUCACCAAGGCGACGAUCGGUAGCUGGUCUGAGAGGACGAUCAGCCACACUGGGACUGAGACACGGCCCAGACUCCUACGGGAGGCAGCAGUGGGAAUUUUCCGCAAUGGGCGAAAGCCUGACGGAGCAAGACCGCGUGAGGGAGGAAGGCUCUUGGGUUGUAAACCUCUUUUCUUGGGAAGAACAAAAUGACGGUACCCAAGGAAUCAGCAUCGGCUAACUCCGUGCCAGCAGCCGC
rnacentral:rRNA from 1 species